rnacentral:misc_RNA from 1 species
UUGUGGCUUCUUCCAGGUCAAGCUC